rnacentral:lncRNA from 1 species
UAUGUAGAGCUGGAAAAAUGUAAGAAUACCCAAUUUCUUGUUCUAGCUCUACUGGUAGGGGCACUAAAAAGAUAAAUGAAACUGAAACUGGAAGGUUUUACAAAGACUAUAUUAACAAACUGAAGAAUUUUCAGGCACCAAGUUAUAUUUUUUCUGUAAUUCACCUGUGGGACAAUAUGACUCUAUCUAAAUAUAUGUAAUUGGAGUGCCAGAAGGAAGGAGAAGAGAAAGUUCGUUGAUGAAGUUCUGGAAGAAGGUCAAGUCCAAAAGGAGCUCCAAAAGUAGCUGUAUUUGGUCUCAGCAUUUUUAACACGGAGCGGGCGGGGCUCGGGGUCUUCCGGAGCCUCCGGUCGCGGGUCUAAGAGGACUAGGGCGGGAGCGGCGCGGAAGAAAGAGAGGACUGCGUUUUGGGGCGUUCUGUCAGAGGGGAAGGACGUGUGGAUUGGAGUCAGACUGCACUCCCGCCCUAUUUCUGCAAGUAGAACUCACUGCCUUUAGAAACGGUCUUCUGAGGCUCUGUUGGGAGGCUCUAACUGUAUUACAGAGGACACAUUUUUGUUUGUUUUUAUGUGAAACAUUCAGAAGUUGCUUGCAUCAAGUGCUUUACAAGUACACUGGUUUUCAAACUUUUAAAGUUGAGGAACUGUUUUGAUUUUUGUAAAAAUAGAACUUUACUUGGAAGCCCAACAGGUGUAAUUUUAAAAUAUUUGGUUUUACUAUGUAGCCUGAGAGGGAGAGAGAGAAAAAAUGAGAGAGAAAAAAAUUCUAAGUGUCAAGAACAAGUAGAAAAUUUGAAGCCAGUGACUUGGUGGAGAAGAUUAGUCGUGGAUGAAAGACUCUUUCCUAACUUCUGAAACUGUAAUAUUCAGCCAAGGAAAUGAGACAACUUAUUCUUGCAUCAUAAGGAUUUUUUAAAAACUGGACCGAAUUACAAAGAGAACUUGCAAAGUUAAUAAUCAUAUUGAGAUUGGUAACAUGCUUCUACCAGAAAUAAUAGGUCGCUUAGAAACUAGUACUCUCAGAACAUGGAGUGGAAGAGGUGAUCAUGGUAGCAACAGACUGAGGAGUGAAUUUGAACUUGAGUUUUGUCUUGCUGUUUUUCAUUGAUGGAACCCAACUGGAAAUCAGAAUACAAGGGCACUCGAUUAAUUCAGUUCACAGAGGACUUCUUCCUGUGGCACGGAGCAUGGUGGGGAAAGGUGGUCUUAAUAUGCUGUUGCUGAAAGAAUGAAUUUCUUCUAGGUGUGCAUGAAACUGAGUAGGGCUGAAGAUCACCGAAGAAUGCAGACACAGAAAGGGUGAAUCCUGGAUGGUCUGGAUUUAGAACAUUCAAAUAAAAUCUUAUGG